rnacentral:rRNA from 1 species
GUAACACGUAUCCAACCUGCCGAUGACUCGGGGAUAGCCUUUCGAAAGAAAGAUUAAUACCCGAUGGCAUAGUUCUUCCGCAUGGUAGAACUAUUAAAGAAUUUCGGUCAUCGAUGGGGAUGCGUUCCAUUAGGUUGUUGGCGGGGUAACGGCCCACCAAGCCUUCGAUGGAUAGGGGUUCUGAGAGGAAGGUCCCCCACAUUGGAACUGAGACACGGUCCAAACUCCUACGGGAGGCAGCAUG